UACAGAGGAUGCAAGCGUUAUCCGGAAUGAUUGGGCGUAAAGCGUCUGUAGGUGGCUUUUUAAGUCCGCCGUCAAAUCCCAGGGCUCAACUCUGGACAGGCGGUGGAAACUACCAAGCUGGAGUACGGUAGGGGCAGAGGGAAUUCCCGGUGUAGCGGUGAAAUGCGCAGAUAUCGGGAAGAACACCCGUGGCGAAGGCGGCUCUCUGGGACGGUACUGACGCUGAGACGCGAAAGCGUGGGGAGCAAACAGG
rnacentral:rRNA from 1 species